ACGUUUACAUAUAUCGAAGACCAGAGGCCGGUCUGGAUGAAAUGGUUGGCUGGUGGGAGUUUUGCAGCUCUGGUGUUUAUUGCAGUAAUUUUAUUGGUCACGGCGCUCAGAAGAAAAUUCAAAAAACCAUCAAAAUCUAUAAUAUCGCCGCCUUCCACAGACAAAUGUGAUAGAUCAUUUAGCCCGGAAUGUACAGAUUCCUCGACCGAUGAAUCCGUCUCGAUCUGCAAACCUCUCAGACGGAGUCCAAGAUUAAUACACCUCACCAGAUGCACUGCUUGUACGACCUCAUCGCCAUCACCAUCGUCAUCAAAAUCAUUGUUAACCGAGAAGUCAUCAACAACGCUGAAAAAUACGAAAAUACCUCGUAGACGACAAUCAAAUUUAAGAAGGGAAUUUCAUGACACCAAAUUCUUGAAAGGAGAGCCAAAUGUCAGGGGCCCAGUAAGGGCCAAGAAGGCACCUCCCACGUUGAUCUUACGGAGCCCAAAGAGUUAGAAGGUCUGAGCAGCUAAGCGACUGUUGCGGUGAACGCGCUCGCGUAUUGGACUGAGGCCCAUUUCAAGCCACUACAGCGUCCAUCACAUCGGGAGUGAGUGAGGCUGAGAUAUCGCGAGCUCCACUGGCACUUGGUGAAGUUUUAAUUUUAUCAAAUUUCUUCAAAAUGAAAUUCAAUAAAGAUCUGUUGUAUGGACA